GCGCCGUCGGGGCCCUACCGGGGUGUCGCGCGCCCGGCGAGCGUGUUCGCGAUGGAGACGAUGUUCGACGCGGCGGCGGCGCA
rnacentral:tRNA from 2 species